CCUACGGGUGGCUGCAGUAGGGAAUCUUUCACAAUGGGCGAAAGCCUGAUGGAGCAACGCCGCGUGCAGGAAGAAGGCCUUCGGGUUGUAAACUGCUUUUGUAAGCGACGAAUCUGAUGGUAACUUAUGAAUAAGGAUCGGCUAACUACGUGCCAGCAGCCGCGGUCAUACGUAGGAUGCGAGCAUUAUCCGGAGUGACUGGGUGUAAAGAGUUGCGUAGGUGGCAUAAUAAGUAGCUAAUGAAAUCGGGUGGCUCAACCAUUCAGACUAUUAGCUAAACUGUUAAGCUCGAGACCGUUAGAGGUAAGUGGAAUUUCUAGUGUAGGAGUGAAAUCCGUAGAUAUUAGAAGGAACACCAAUAGCGUAGGCAGCUUGCUGGGACGUUUCUGACACUAAGGCACGAAAGCGUGGGGAGCAAACGGGAUUAGAUACCCUAGUAGUC
rnacentral:rRNA from 1 species